UACGUAGGUGGCAAGCGUUGUCCGGAUUUACUGGGCGUAAAGAGCGCGCAGGCGGUCGUUCAAGUCGCGUGUGAAAGCCCCCGGCUCAACUGGGGAGGGUCACGCGAUACUGAUCGACUGGAAGGCAGGAGAGGGUAGUGGAAUUCCCGGUGUAGUGGUGAAAUGCGUAGAUAUCGGGAGGAACACCAGUGGCGAAGGCGGCCACCUGGACAAUUGCUGACGCUCAGGCACGAAAGCGUGGGGAGCAAAAGGG
rnacentral:rRNA from 1 species